GACGAAGGCUGGCGGCGUGCCUAACACAUGCAAGUCGAACGAGAUCCAUGGGAGCUUGCUCCCGGAAGAUCUAGUGGCGAACGGGUGAGUAACACGUGAGAAACCUGCCCUGGAGUGGGGAAUAACUCGGGGAAACUCGAGCUAAUACCGCAUACCCUCGGAUGGUCGCAUGGCCGACCGAGGAAAGAUUUAUCGCUCUAGGAGGGUCUCGCGGCCUAUCAGCUAGUUGGUGGGGUAACGGCCUACCAAGGCAACGACGGGUAGCUGGUUUGAGAGAACGAUCAGCCACACUGGGACUGAGACACGGCCCAGACUCCUACGGGAGGCAGCAGUGGGGAAUCUUGCGCAAUGGGCGAAAGCCUGACGCAGCAACGCCGCGUGCGGGAUGACGGCCUUCGUGGUUGUAAACCGCUUUCAGCAGGGACGAAAAUAGACGGUACCUGCAGAAGAAGACCCCGGCUAACUACGUAGCCAGCAGCCGCGGUAAU
rnacentral:rRNA from 1 species